rnacentral:rRNA from 1 species
UACGGAGGAUGCGAGCGUUAUCCGGAUUUAUUGGGUUUAAAGGGUGCGCAGGCGGCACGGCAAGCCGGCGGUCAAAUCGCGGGGCUCAACCCCGCCCAGCCGUCGGAACUGCCGGGCUAGAGUGGGCGAGAAGUGCGCGGAAUGCGUGGUGUAGCGGUGAAAUGCAUAGAUAUCACGCAGAACUCCGAUUGCGAAGGCAGCGCACCGGCGCCCUACUGACGCUCAGGCACGAAAGCGUGGGGAGCAAAUAGG